UUCCCACUGAUUACAAACUUCGCUGAUACCUGCCCACCCGAAAGUCUCGAGAUCGCCUGGAGUGGGGUCCGGAUUGAGGACAGGCUGACAACGGUGGGAACCAUGAUACAGAUUAUGAGAGAUGAGGGAU
rnacentral:sRNA from 13 species